rnacentral:sRNA from 1 species
GUAAGCGAAUCUUCUACUAAGAUCGCACACCUCCUGUGUGCAACGUAGAAGCCACCGCAUCCUGCGGA